UAAGUAGGUAGUGAAAUCUGACGGCUCAACCGUACAGGCUAUUAUUCAAACUGUAUAACUCGAGAAUGGUAGAGGUAACUGGAAUUUCUUGUGUAGGAGUGAAAUCCGUAGAUAUAAGAAGGAACACCAAUGGCGUAGGCAGGUUACUGGACCAUUUCUGACACUGAGGCACGAAAGCGUGGGGAGCGAACCGGAUUAGAUACCCGGGUAGUCCACGCCGUAAACUAUGGAUACUA
rnacentral:rRNA from 1 species